rnacentral:rRNA from 1 species
UACGAAGGGGGCUAGCGUUGUUCGGAAUUACUGGGCGUAAAGAGUGUGUAGGCGGUGCUCUAAGUUCGGUGUGAAAUCUCCUGGCUCAACUGGGAGGGUGCGCCGGAAACUGGAGUGCUUGAGCGUGGGAGAGGAAAGCGGAAUUCCUGGUGUAGCGGUGAAAUGCGCAGAUAUCAGGAGGAACACCGGUGGCGAAGGCGGGUCUCUGGGCCGAUACUGACGCUGAGGAGCGAAAGCGUGGGGAGCGAACAGG